CUUCAGCGGCUGACUGUUUUGCCACCUGUUACACCCAGCUCUCCUCGAAUCUUGUGUUUUCAAGUGUUUGUCAAAGCUAAGCUUCUUAGUAACUCUACUCCUUCCACACAGGUCUUGCUCUAUGCAUCGUUACCUUGGUUCCGAAGAAUCUUUGGAAAGUCCCACGGACCAUGAAUCUCACCGGACAUCUUACCUUGGCGGCAGCCCGACCGGAUCAGAGCACCAUUUCAGUUGCGAACCUUGUCCACCCUCCUCGAAGGAUUACGUCCCUGGCUCCUGUCGGCACCUCACUCUGGAUCAGCACUCAGUGCCGACGCAUUCUCUCCCUGGCGGAUACCGACGCCCCAUCAUUGAGCCUGGCUUCCUUGUCACCGGACCCUCGUUCCAGUCUUUAAAUAAAAUAACUAAAACAU